rnacentral:tRNA from 1 species
GGUACUUUGCCCGAGCGGUCGAAGGGGUCAGAUUCAAGUAUUAGCUUGCACGAUUCGUGCAGUGAACCCUGAUAUUUCACGCGUGGGUUCGAAUCCCACAGGUACCA